UAAACAGUUAUGAGGGAGAGAAAAAUACCGGGUCUUUGAUUACAGAGAGCUGACGUUGGCUGAGAGUUAGCAUCGAAGUGGUAUAGAAUAAUCACUCCUGAACUGCCGAAUCGAAAAGGUUGCUUAGUAGAUAAGGCCGGUUUCUAUGAUGAUAGAAGUGCCACCGUUAUAUGGCUAAGGUUAAAAGAAAUUAUUUUUUUCGACCUGAAGAGGCGAUUUAUGUGAGUAAAUCGUGAAUAAGGGUGGUACCACGGGUGAUCAAUCUCCCGUCCCUAGA
rnacentral:ncRNA from 1 species